UAAUAAGUGUUUUAUGGCACUUUUUAAAUCCAUAUCCACCUUGUGUGCAAUGUCAGUCGAUCUUCUUUCAUGGAGAUCGACCAAACAUCAACCUUUAUCCUUUAACUCUUUGUCUGAAAAAUAUUAUGAAUAAACAAUUCAAAAUA
rnacentral:misc_RNA from 1 species